rnacentral:rRNA from 1 species
CACGCAGGCGGUCUUACCAGUCAGGGGUGAAAGCCCGGGGCUCAACCCCGGAACUGCCUCUGAUACUGCAAGACUAGAGACUAGGAGAGGGUGGUGGAAUUCCCAGUGUAGAGGUGAAAUUCGUAGAUAUUGGGAGGAACACCAGAGGCGAAGGCGGCCACCUGGACUAGAUCUGACGCUCAGGUGCGAAAGCGUGGGGAGCAAACA